rnacentral:rRNA from 1 species
GAUGAACGCUAGCGGGAGGCUUAACACAUGCAAGUCGAGGGGUAAAUGGUAGCAAUACUAUGAGACCGGCGAACGGGUGCGUAACGCGUAUGCAACUUACCUUAUGCAGGGGGAUAGCCCGUGGAAACGCGGAUUAAUAUCCCAUAGAUCAGUAAUAUCGCAUGGUAUAACUGGUAAAACUCAGGUGGCAUAAGAUGGGCAUGCGUCUGAUUAGCUAGUUGGUAGGGUAACGGCCUACCAAGGCGACGAUCAGUAGGGGUUCUGAGAGGAUUAACCCCCACACUGGUACUGAGACACGGACCAGACUCCUACGGGAGGCAGCAGUGAGGAAUAUUGGUCAAUGGGCGCAAGCCUGAACCAGCCAUCCCGCGUGAAGGAAGAAGGCCCUACGGUUGUAAACUUCUUUUCUGUUUGAAGAAUAAGCUCGUCGAGACGAGUGAUGCCGGUAGGACAGGAAUAAGCAUCGGCUAACUCCGUGCCAGCAGCCGCGGU